CAAUAUAGCAACAUAUAAUGACAAUUUUCACCUCAUAGGAAGUUAGGAAUCUAAUUUUAAUAGUCCACAUGACAAGAAGUUCGAUAAACCACACAACACGGUAGAAAAACAUUGACCAUCAAAAGCAUUCUAUUACAAAUUUAUAUAAUUUGGGGCAGUUCAAAAGUAGAUUGUCUCUAUAUUCCCUAGGGAACACAUGCAAGAAAAUGUACACCAGGGUUAGACAAGAAUAAAAUCCGGAAGUCCAUAACAUUUCCGUGUGACAUAUCAUGUUACCCUAAUACAACAUUUGGAGAUUUAUCAUUCUUAUCUAGAGAAGGGUAAAAAGUGAAGAUUUCACAUCUGUAAAAGAAAACUCCAAAAUUAUAACUUAUGUUAGUACAUCUAAUUAUUUCACCUUAAGUACUAGAGUCAAAUGCUCGAUACUCUUGGCAUAUUUUCCGAUACUUGGAUAAGUAGCAACAAUUGAGUCUGACAUUAUGAGAUUUUUUGCGCUCAACGAUUGUCAGAAUCCAUGUAAUAUACACACAAAUGCUCAUUUUUUUUUAAUACAACUAUGAAUUAUUGACAACCCAAAAUCCCAUAUCAAAUACAUUACACAUUACUAUACAAAUACAAGCAUGCAUGAUUAGCUCUAUCAAGCAACUUCUCAAUAGAACAGCAAAUUCCACUGCAUCGACAUACAUCAAAUCAAAUUAAAUCAGUACAAAGAUUAAAAUCACACUGCACAUACAUAUAUCAAGUCAAUUCCAAGGAGCACAAAAUAAACUUAAAUUUACACUACAUACUUGUGGUAGUCCAUAAUUCCAUAUGGUAUGCACUACAUUCUACAACUACUCAUGAGUAGAUUAUCAUAAAUAUGAAUCAUCAACAAGUCGAAAUAUCAAAUAGUUUGAUUGAAUACUAACACAAAUACACAAGCAUGCCUAAUCAAUUGAAUUGCAACUUACAUAACACACAUUUACAAAUUCCAAUCAUACAAAACACACGAAAAUACUGUAGCUGGUGAAUAGUACUUUGUGGUGCUAUUACAUAGACACACUUACUUUUAAUGAAUUGCCGAAAUUGCCCUUGCUUAGCCAGUUGCAUUUGCUUGCCCUUCCAUUGACUGCCAGCUAAGGUAGGUUGAUGCUUGGGCUUGGCUGCUCUUUCUCAUUCCUCAACUCUCCUUUUCACCGACUUCCUUCACUCUCUCUCUCAGAAACCUAGAGAGAGAAACCUUCGACACCUUCAGCAAUCACCGAUCAUCCAUUCGAUGAUGGUUAUGGGGCUUCGGUUCUUCUUUGGGGAGUGGUGAUUUCACCCUUUUGAUUUUGACCUGAGAAAGGAGAAAAGAGGAGAGAACUGGCUGAGUUUAUAUCUGGCGAUGAAAGGAAAACUGCUGCUGAAGAUACUUUGAAUGCUUACAAGGCUGCUGAGGUAUUAAUCAAAAUGGGGGUUAUAGGUGACAUUCCGGUAGCAGCUAUUGAGGAUGUAGAGCGCUGCUAGAAGGGAGAAAGAGGAACAAAAGGUCAGACUUAUGUGAUGUCUUUGCAAAGUUUUAUCAUCAGUUUCAGGGCUUCAAGUUGCGGAAACGAAACUAAAUGAGGGUUAGUCACUGUACUGACCUCUAUUCUUUGUAAAUGCUGAAAUUCUUAGUUAUGCAGCUCAUGUUGGAGCAUCCAAAUAUAUUGUUAGUAACAUUAUUGUCUGAUUUGUAACAAAAUUGUUUAUCUACAGGUACCAUUCUAACUCCCCUUUCUCUUUCCUGUUCGAAUUGGUUCAAUUUUCACCUAACCUUUAAUAUGAAUAGCUUACUUGUUAUUUUUUUCCAUAUCUUUCCAUUUUCUCCCAAUAUUUUCUCUUUUUAAUUUGCUUAUAUGCAUAUGGUGUUUGCUGCCAAAAUUUAUACUUUCAAGUUUGAUAUUGCUAUUGUGAGUGACUAUAGAGGGUAGCUGUUGUUUCACGCUGUUGCCGCUGUUAUUCUGGUGCUGCCUGUUACUGUUGUUCUGUUCGUCCAAAAAUCAUCGACCUGAAGUUGUUUUUAGCUCAUAGUCUCUUAAUCAAUGUUUUAGAUCUCAAAAAGUUACUCAAUCUAGGCUCAAGAAUUUCUCGAUUUGGAGUUGUGUGCUAGGAGUUCUGCCUUCUGGAAUUUACUACAAUCUGCUACCCUGGUUCUAUCGCAGCGGACUGUUAUUACUCAUUUGAUGCCUAUGUGGUGUUGUUGUGUUGGGUUGGUUGGGGUGCUAAAAUGAAUGCUUGGGCUUCUCUUAUUUAUUUUGUCUUCCCUCUUCCCUUUAUUUACACAUUAGUUAUAAAGUUAAAAUGUGGGCAAUUUUGAUUAAUAACUAUUUGGAUAAUGACUAAUUGAUAAUUUGCCAAAGUGAUGAGGAUAAAUGUAUAUGUUAAAUUUUCAAAUGUGUGAGUGACUAAAGUUAAUUAGUUUAAAUGUAUUGAAGGGUUUAAAUGUUUAUAAAAUAGAUUUGAUGAACGAACACUAAUCUUCCCAAGUUUAUUUGUCACUCUUAAUUAACUUCAAAAUUUUGUAUUACAUGAGCCUUUUGUUGUUUUUAUUAAAUGAGGUGAGAAAAUAUAUAUGUAAAGGUUUGUACAUGUGGUAUGUCUAGAUAAGGGUUGUGUUCUACUUAUAUAUCAAGUGAGUUUGGGAAGUAUUAAGGAGUCAACAAAGAAGUCAUGUUUGAUAUGAUAGUCUCCUUAUAAUUUAUUAAUAUAUAUGUGAGAGUAAUUUACACCAUACAACUGAUAACUUGAGAAUCCUUUAUCUUUUCUACUGUAAUAUUAGCAGCAAUUGCAGGUUGGUGCAAAAUAAUGCAGUGUUUGAAGUUAGUCUUGUGCUUCUAUAACAAAAAUGAAAAUUCAACUACGUGGGCCCUCCUUGACUCCAUAUCAACUUAACUACCGAAAAAGCAACCUGGACAUUCUUGUUAGAGUAAAGAGGUCUUCUUGUAUAAAAUCUUGAUGAUCUGUGAGCAAUAAUGGGGUAAAGAGGAGAAGAUCGAGAGGAAGACAAUCUCAGAGAAGUUCUCAAGCACUCUGCUCAAAUGCUUUUGGAGCUCCGAACUUCAUAAUAAGUAUCUGCUUGGGAUGAAGGCAUCAUUGGCAUUCCAGAAUAAUGGUGCUGAAUGAAUAGUGGGUUCUAUGAAUUGUUUUUGGGUUUAUUUCUAAAGAUAUACUGCUUUGGUUAAUAAUUUGGUGGUUACAAAUAUCUCUUAAUAUGGGUGACAUUCAGAAUGCUCCUCUUUCAGAAGAGGAAACUACUUGUAGGUUUCUUUUGUAUGAACUUCAGAUAAUUUGGGAUGAAGUGAGCAAGCCUGAAAUAUUAGGGCCAAGAUGUUACUUGUAGGAGUGGAGCACGUGCUUAAAGGCGCCAAGAAGACAAGGAUACAACCAUACUCUCGGAUGGUAGAUGAAGCAUGUGUGAGAUGGUGAUGGUGUUAUAGGUUGAGGUUAUGGGAUUUAAUUUCAUUUGUAGUACGAGUAGUAUUUAAUUUAUAGUUUUAAAUGGUAGAAAUGGAUAGAAUUAGAUACGUAAAUGAUGAAGUAAUGCAAGAGCAUAUAAGUGAAUAUAUGAGAAUAAUGUGUACUUGUUUUCAACUUCAAUAUGUGUACUGUGAUUUUAGUAGAGAAAUUAUAUCUUUGUUCUUGAGGCUAGGUA